CACGUAGGGGCCAAGCGUUGUCCGGAAUUAUUGGGCGUAAAGAGCUCGUAGGCGGUCUGUCGCGUCUGCUGUGAAAACUCGGGGCUUAACCCCGGGCCUGCAGUGGGUACGGGCAGACUAGAGUGCGGUAGGGGAGACUGGAAUUCCUGGUGUAGCGGUGAAAUGCGCAGAUAUCAGGAGGAACACCGGUGGCGAAGGCGGGUCUCUGGGCCGUAACUGACGCUGAGGAGCGAAAGCGUGGGGAGCGAACAGG
rnacentral:rRNA from 1 species